rnacentral:rRNA from 1 species
GUGAGGAAUAUUGGUCAAUGGGCGCAAGCCUGAACCAGCCAUGCCGCGUGCAGGAAGACGGUCCUAUGGAUUGUAAACUGCUUUUAUUUGGGAAUAAACUCCGGUACGUGUACCGGCCUGAAGGUACCAAAUGAAUAAGCACCGGCUAACUCCGUGCCAGCAGCCGCGGUAAUACGGAGGGUGCAAGCGUUAUCCGGAAUCAUUGGGUUUAAAGGGUCCGCAGGCGGUCUUAUAAGUCAGUGGUGAAAGCCUACAGCUCAACUGUAGAACUGCCAUUGAUACUGUAGGACUUGAAUUCGAUCGAAGUGGGCGGAAUGGGACAUGUAGCGGUGAAAUGCUUAGAUAUGUCACAGAACACCGAUAGCGAAGGCAGCUCACUAGGUCUGGAUUGACGCUCAGGGACGAAAGCGUGGGGAGCAAACAGGAUUAGAUACCCGGGUAGUCC